CAAACAACACAGCCCAAGAAGGCAUCGCCGUCUUCUUCUCCAACUCUAGGGCCUUCGCCUGCGCACGAGUCCAAGCCGCACCGAUGGCGAAGACGGCGGCAGCGACGGCCCUGGAUAUCGCUGAGAUCUCCUUCUCCGACCUAACCGUCCUCUUAUUGCCGAAGACACCGGAUGACGACGACCGCCGUCGCCGCGUCCUGGCCACUGUGGGCACCGAGCUCGGUCGAGGCGGGUCUGGGUUGUUGGCCAUCGCCGGCGUUCCGCGCGCAGGCGCCCUCCGGCGGCGGCUCCUCCCCUUGGCCCGGCGCCUCGCUCUCAUGGACCAUCCCACCCGCGCCCAACUCCUCAAGAGGCAUGGUUUGGGCAGCGACGUGCCUCUGAAGAAGCUCGAUCGGUCUGUCUCCUCAUUCGUGCAGCUCCUAAGGUAUUCAGGUAAACUCCACCUAUUAGAGUCAGUGAACAAAACUGAAAGCAUCAGCAAUGGAUUUGUUUGUCCAGAGAAGGCACAGUCUGAUGAUGGAUUUGAAGAACCUAAGGGUGAUGACGACAUUGAAAAUCUUGCUCAACUCGUUAAGGAGCUGGGUUUGUACAUGAUGGAGCUUGGGAUUUUGGUUGCGCGAGCUUGCGACAUUGUUAUUGGCGGAGGUCAGUUAGAGCAGAGCAUCUCUGACUUUGGGACUGCAAAGGCAAGGCUCAUUCACUACCACUCUGAGUUUGAUAACAUUGUUAUCAGGGAGAGCAGCACAAAGAGAAAAGGCUCGGUAAAUAAAGUGGCUGCAAAAUCUUACCAGUCAUGUUCUCAAAGGUCUGUAUCAGGAAGCACGCAUUGCAUCAAAUCAGAAGAUGAAACUACUGUUAUGGUAAAAAGAAAAAAUGAUUCCAACGAUGUAUCAAUUCAGAGCCAGGGUGGCUCGAUUUCCCUGUCGAACCUAUGGCAGGAGUGGCACUAUGACUAUGGAAUCUUUACAGUUUUAACAGGACCAUUGUUUUCCCGUGCCUCCGUGGGAGAAGAAUGUUUGAUCAGCCAGGAAUGCCAUCCUCCUGAUGGGCACACACACCUGCAGUUAUGCAGCAGAAGUAAGAUAUUCUCAGUUAGAUGCUCUCCUAAUAGCUUCAUUGCUCAGGUUGGAGAAGCAGCGGACAUCUUGUCCAGGGGGAAGCUGAAAUCUACACUUCAUGCUGUGAGUAGACCUUUGAGUUUCACAGACAUCAGCCGUGAGACUUUUGUAGUCUUCCUACAGCCCUCAUGGGACAAAACUUUAACUUAUUCGAGUUACUCUUCUGAUGCUGAAGAUAAAUCAAGUGAUGACAAGGACAUGCCAGUCAGGAGUGAUGGGUCAGCUACGUUUUAUCAUGAAGAUGUAUUUAUGCAAGGAAUUUUGAAAAAGAUCCCCCCUCUUUCCUCAAGGCUAAAAGAAGGGAUGACGUUUGCAGAGUUUUCUCAGCAGACAACAAAACAUUAUUAUGGUGGUGGUGGCAUCCAACAAAACAAUUGAACACCAGUGGUAUAAUGGUGAAAUGCAUGUAGCUGGCAAUGAACUGAAGUACUGAGUUGCAUGCUGAUGCAGAUGAGAAUGCAGUCCAUGCAGUAAAUGAGAACAUCCUGGUGAGAGUGUCUUAAUCUACAGCAGGCAUCAAUGGUAGUGGACGAACAACGGCAUCAUGCAGAGCUUCUUGGUUGUGCAACCACCUUGUUGUCUUUUCCCCCACUCUAAUAGCUGAGAGGAGGAAUAUGAUUUCCUGACUAACCCUAAGGCAAAAUUUGUGGCAUGACCAAAAACAGCCCAUCAAAGACUCUGGCAAAAGGUACUCAGCUGAAAAACCACAUGAAAAGAACAAACUGCUAGAAAAUGUAGAACCUAGAGCU